rnacentral:tRNA from 1 species
GGCGGGCCAGGUCUGUCGGCCCUCGACUGAAAAUCGUGGUGUCCCGGGUUCGAGUCCCGGUCUCGCCA